rnacentral:lncRNA from 1 species
CAGGGAUUAAAUGAAACCCAACAGAACAUCCAGUGAUUGCUUAUGAGCUACGUAAUGUUCCAAGAACUUGAGGCUUCCUUAUUGGAAAGUAUUGGGAAUAAUUCCAAAUGUGAGUUUAUCAACUACUAUCCUUGUUACUCUACCUUUUAUUAAAAUACCUCAGGUGACACUAAAAAUGUUUGUUUGCUCUGCCAAGUGUUUUCUGAAGCCAGAUAAUUUGAUAUGCUAUUUAAGCAUUUGAAAGCACUGUCAAUGAAUUAAAAUUCAUCAAAACAUCCUGUUUCAUCAAAAUCAAGCUUUUUUUUUAAAAGACUAAGUUUCAACAAAGCUUUCAUAAGCAGUGCUUCUAAGGUCAGUACGUUCAAGACUGCUCCUGACCUGAAUAAGAUCUUCACAGAAUCAUAUGUAAGGCACGAAGUACUGCAAAAGGGAGAAAAAAAAAAUAACAGGAAACAGGAGUGAAAGUCUACCUGCUAUUUGCAUGACAAAGAAGAGAAAUCUUGGUAAAGGAGAUGAUGUCUUUUAAUAGUUUUUUUUUUUUUGCUUACAACAUACACUAUAGGAGGUAGAAAGCAAACAAUCUACUGCAUUCCAGGAUCCCUUUGCAGAAAGACCAAAAAAAAAAAAGCAUGACCUGAAUUCUCUCGUGCUGAGUUUGUCUAUACAGUCAGAGGAGGAACCUGGGCAAGUUCACUGAAACCAUGAUGGCUCUUGAUGCCAGCUGUUGCUGAGCUGGAUGGGAGAGAGCUGAGGGGGAAAAGGCUGUGCUGUGUCUGGGCCCCAUUAUCUCUCUUCCUCGCACUUAGUUCACCUGUUUCAAGAUUUAAAGUCAUCACUCAAUUUGCUGUUCACUGGAGACAAAGAAAUGACGCAAGCACAGAGUGAAAGAAAACAGGAUCAAAUGUGGCAUUUGGGUCAGGCCUACUAAGAUGGUUCUCCUAACUGUGCCAGUGCCAGAAGAAUGCUCGUAUGCUGAUAAGUCAAUGGAACUUCAAAGAGAAAUACUCAUUUUUUUAGUCAAGAACAAGAUAUUUGAUGGUGG